CUGGAGAUCAGAAUUCUAUAUCUACAUGUCUUUCCUAUAAAAGCCGAAUAUAUAUCAAGCUGACAAUAUUUUUAUUUAAUUAAGGAACGUCCUUUUUAGUUAUAAAUAAAAGUCAAAUAUUAGCUGUCCUACCUAUUUAUGGUUUCUUGAGCCCACUGUAGGUCUGCAUGGUCGAAAUUAGUUGAGAUUGAUAAAGAAGAG
rnacentral:lncRNA from 1 species